AAAGGUCGAGAAGAUACAACUCAAACCGUAGAGUCGGCGUUGGCGUUCCGCUCUCUCUCGUGGAUGGGCUCCCGCUCUCGCUCACGGCGUUUGUUGGCCAACAAACAGCAAGUCAACCUCCUCAAGUCUGUUUCUGGUUCGCCAUGAGUGGGCACAGUGGGCUAGGCCCUCGUAAAUUCAUCUCUUAGGUAUAGAUUUCUAAUUAUGAACUUCUAAUAGGGUGACCAACCUGGCGUAUGAGUAAUUUUUGUGACAACAAUGCGUAUGAGCAACAUUUGACCAUGUUUGAUUUUACAAUAGAAAAAGCUUUACAGUAAAUGUAAUACAUUAUCAAUAUAUUUCCCACAAUUGCAAUAUUGGUUUUUUGUAAAUUUCGAUUUUUGGUGGCACCAACAACUGUAUCAACCAAAUCCAGAGAUAUUGCGAAAGUGAAAGAACAGCAUUAUAAAUAGAUCUGCCAUCGGGUAUUUAUUUAAUAAUCCCACGCCCACUGUGCCUCCAAUGCUCACAAAUACACGCCAAAAGGUGUUGGAUGCCAAGAGAGAUCGCUCCAUGAGAGAGUGCACAUAGCGGAGACAGAGAGCGAGAUGCGAUGUGGAGAACGCGAGCCAAAGAGAGUGGAGCGUCGGUGAUGUCAUCCCCACUUAUUGACGAAUACACACGAAGGAGAGCCCCAGCCAAACGCACGAACUAAUCAAAACAAGCAAUCGAAGCCUAUACAGAUUAGAGGCCCCGUAAAGUUCGAUCCGUGCACGUUGGACGCGAAUUUCGAUCAAAGAACCCGCACAUUGCAGUCCCGUUUGGAGACCAACGUGUGCUGCGAUCUUAUUGGAGUGCAAUUGAUAACAGCUGUGGGGGAUCGCUCCCUCUUAGACACUUCUCUCUGUCCCUCUCACGUAACAAGCAACCCCAAUUGGGGGGGCUUUUUGAAAUGUGCAGCCCAUAGAGAAGAAGCUGUCGCAUCUUUUUUGAUUUCUCAACAUUUUCUUGUAGAAAGUGUCGUGGUGGGCAAUCGAAACAACAACAAUGGGUAAGGCAAUAUGAUUGAAACCCCAACCGCCAAGUGACGUCAGUGGAGCAACAGCAACAUGGCAUAAAGAAAACAAAUCAAAUUCAGCGAAAAUAUGCGCUUUAAAAAAUAAAGUAUGAGAAAUAACUGCAAAAAUCCUCUGCCAAUGCCAGCAGAGGUGAUCUUCUUCUUCAUCUGCUACUUGCCAUGGCUGUUGUUCUUGUUGUUGUUGUCUCAGCAGCCAGUUGUGGGUGGCAAAUAAACAAGUUGCUCUCUCGCUUGCUCACUCGCGUGGGGCAGACCCCACCGCCUCUCUUUCGCACUCCGGUGACCUGCCGCCGCUCUCUUUCGUUGGCCUUAGUUGCGUCCCUAGUUGGCAACUCGUUUACCUUUUUCGUAUUUUGUUUUUCGCUUUUUGUCUUGCAGCUUUUCGCUGCGAACAUCUGUUGUUGUUAACUCUUUCUGCCGCAAAUCUGUUAAAACAAAGUCAUGUGGAAUUUUGGUAAUGUCAAUCAGAGCCAUAUGCUGUGACAACCGAGGAUUGCGGGCCCAUCUGGUCAUCUAAUGUUGUCCAAAACGAUGGAAAGCUAUCGCAUGGACGAUUACAGAUAGUUUGAGUGUGGUUUUCGGGUGUGCAACAUACGCAUUCGAUUCAAUUGAUUCGAAUGUUCGCAUCAAGUGGUCGUUUCGCUUCCCACUCGAAAGUUUCCACGCUUAAUCAAGUUUGGAGAUUGGAAGUUGGAGAUUGGCCUGUCAUAUGCAUCUCAAGGGGAUCCUUUUCCAAGGCUCGGAAACUAACUUUUGGAUCGAAAGCGUACAUGUAAUGUGGCUUACACUUUCGCAUGAAUGGGCUUGUUGAACUAUAUAGAUUUGUGAUCUCAUUCAGUUAAAGUUGAAUUAUUCAUUACCUUUGUUUAAUAACAUUGAAAUAUAUUUAUAGCUACAUAUGUAGGUUGUGUCGUUUCCUGUCAGAAGUUUGCGUCUUAUUUUUGCCUUUGUUCUAAAACUUGUUUGGAAAUAUACUGCCCAAUGAUGUUCUGAAACUUCCAGAUGCUGAUAAUUUAGCACAUGCACAAAUUAUUGUCUUCCAAAUAAUUGGUCAUUAUGCUAUAGUUUUUCAAACCCCAAAGGAAAAAACACAUAACAUUUUUUAUUGACGUUCAUUGAAUUUUAUUGAAAUUUUGCGAGUUAAUACAAAACCGAAAAUAGAAAUUAAUGCAAUUAACAUUAAAAACGCCCGCUCACCGUUACAAUGCCACUGAAAAACGUUUGUUUAAUACUAUGGUUAACUGAUUUACAAUUACUAGAAGAGUGUCUCGGUUCUUGUCUACAAAAAUGUAAAAUAAUAGUCACAUUUAAAAUUGCAUAAAUUCUAGACAAGUGUAGAUGUUAUAGUAUGUCGUACAUAUUGUUUUUUUUUACUUUUUUUUGUUUUUUUUGGAGAAAUUCUCAUGCAUAAAAUGUUUUUGUAUUUCAUAAUCAUUCUUCUUUUCAUAUUUUCUUUUAUUUCUUGUUGUUGUAAUAAUUUGGAAUUAUGCAUUAUAUGUUUUAAAUUUUAUUGCAUUUUAUGUAAUUAAAUAUAUAUAACGUACAUCACAGCAAAAC